CGUACUUUCAACCCAAUAAUACUAAAUUUUAAUAAAUAAUUUUUUUAUACAUUACAAGAAUGAAAAAUAUUCAUCUCUCGCUGAAACAUUGUACUACUUUGUACUACUGCAUGAAAACUUAUCUAAUAACCGGAAAAAUCGGAGAAUAUUUUUCUGAAAACUAAAGAAGAUUAAAUUAAAAUCAGAGAUUCAAAUAAAUCAACAAGAUUUGCUAGGCCACUUAAUUAAUACUGCAGCAACUAUUGCAUCUACGUAUAAUGGCGGCGAACGAAAUAGGACGUACCGACCGACGUUCUCCAACGCUUCCUGAGGAAACGCACGAUCGCAUUUACUAAUCGCUAAAUUUUACUGAAGAAGAAGCUUCAACAAAAGUUUCCGUGCGUGAUUAAAAUGUCGAUCAUCAGUGAUACGCGAUGGACACAUGAACAAUGCGGAGCAGUGACCAAUCGCGAAAGUAGUGAAUCGCGAAAGUUCAGUGACCAUAAGGGAUGUAAGUGCCAAUCUGACGAGGAAGGAAAGUGUACGACGUUCUGUAGCUAUCGGAUUGCUCGUGCACGAAAAUAGUCGGUAAAAUAUCGAUCCGAAAUGACGAUCGUGCCAAGAUAUCAGAUUGAAACCGUUUGAAGAUACUAAGGGAUUAUUUUGUCUCAAGGAAAGUAUAAAGGAAGAUUAAAUCGUCUCUACGAGACCAAGUAAGAUUAUUUUUUCAUCUCUUGCAAAUAGUGGCCUGGCUGAUUUUCUUGGCGCAUCCAACAUGAGCGCCUUUCUUGAAAUAAUCUCAACCAAGUAGCUCAAAGACGCGCUAAUCAGACAUCGCGGCGUUCUCUCCUUCUACCGAGGACGAAUCUAUUCUACGGAGGCCGUCCGUCUUUCUGAAAUACCGAGCCUCCGCUCUUGGAUAUUUUCGUCUAGCGAUUACG